UACGUAGGGGGCAAGCGUUGUCCGGAAUCAUUGGGCGUAAAGAGCGCGUAGGCGGUCCGAUAAGUCGGUUGUGAAAACUGGGGGGCUCAACCCUCAGAGGCCGACCGAUACUGUCGGGCUAGAGUCCGGAAGAGGCGAGUGGAAUUCCUGGUGUAGCGGUGAAAUGCGCAGAUAUCAGGAGGAACACCAAUGGCGAAGGCAGCUCGCUGGGACGGUACUGACGCUGAGGCGCGAAAGCGUGGGGAGCGAACAGG
rnacentral:rRNA from 1 species